UUUUUGUAAGACGGAAACCAAAAGAGUGUUGUUCCUCUUGAGUGUGUAGUAGUCACUUUGAGUAUUGUAUUCGUGACUACACAGUGUAAAAUUCCUUACUAUAGUAAUAUCAAAUGCUCAUCUUGACCCGUAGUUUUUUCCUUUAUUCAGAAGGGUUUCCACAUAAAAUUCUUGGUGUCGUCAUUUUCCCAUUUUAUUUCCUUUACUUUUACCAUAUAUAUUUUUGUGCUCAUACACGUUUUUCUUAACAAUCAUGACCCUUUCUACAUAUAAGUCUUAUCAUAACAAUGCUCUCUUUUCUCUCAUUUAUCUAAUGACAGUUGAAUGAUUCAAAUAUUUUUUUAUUUCUUCAGAAGACACUCCUUAAAAUACGAAGAAUUGAAGGAUUUGAAACAAAAAAUCACUAUUGCAAGGAACAAACAUCAAGAAAAACCUACUGGGAGGUGCAAAUGCAUUGAGCAGGUUUGCACCUGUGUCGAGCAUUUUGCACGUGCAUUUCACAGGUGCCACUGGUCCCAUUAAUGUAGAAGUUGAGACACCCACACCUUCUCUAAGAGGAAUUACACUCGCGUCUUGCAAAUGUAGUGCACGUUAUGCUUACAAGAGUUAAUAGCAAUUUCAUACUUGAUGCAAAAAGAGAUUCUUUGGAAGGUUCCAAGCUAUUUUAGGGAUAUGUGUAAUUAUGUACUAUUAUCAGCUUCCCCAAUUAGGUUGCUCUACAAUAGUUCAUUGUUGUAUCGAAUAGAGUGUAGAGAUUGAAGAA